rnacentral:rRNA from 1 species
AGCGAACGCUGGCGGCAGGCCUAACACAUGCAAGUCGAACGGAUCCUUCGGGAUUAGUGGCGGACGGGUGAGUAACACGUGGGAACGUGCCCUUUGGUUCGGAACAACUCAGGGAAACUUGAGCUAAUACCGGAUGUGCCCUUCGGGGGAAAGAUUUAUCGCCAUUGGAGCGGCCCGCGUCUGAUUAGCUAGUUGGUGGGGUAAAGGCUCACCAAGGCGACGACCAGUAGCUGGUCUGAGAGGAUGAUCAGCCACAUUGGGACUGAGACACGGCCCAAACUCCUACGGGAGGCAGCAGUGGGGAAUCUUGCGCAAUGGGCGAAAGCCUGACGCAGCCAUGCCGCGUGAAUGAUGAAGGUCUUAGGAUUGUAAAAUUCUUUCACCGGGGACGAUAAUGACGGUACCCGGAGAAGAAGCCCCGGCUAACUUCGUGCCAGCAGCCGCCGUAA